UACGUAGGUGGCAAGCGUUGUCCGGAAUCACUGGGCGUAAAGCGCGCGCAGGCGGCGAUCUACGUCUGGGGUGAAAGCCCGGAGCUCAACUCUGGGACUGCCUUGGAUACGGGAUCGCUUGAGGAUUGGAGAGGCAAGGGGAAUUCCACGUGUAGCGGUGAAAUGCGUAGAGAUGUGGAGGAACACCUGUGGCGAAGGCGCCUUGCUGGCCAAUUUCUGACGCUGAGGCGCGGAAGCGUGGGGAGCAAACAGG
rnacentral:rRNA from 1 species